rnacentral:lncRNA from 1 species
GCGAGGUGACGAUAGAAAUUCAUGUUUUUUUAACUCACUGACUUAAUCGUGUGAUGUUACUGUGAAUCCCGACAGGUUCCGAUCGCUUUCAAUCCGUUUUUCCACUUCAAAUUUCCCCCACUUUGAUGCUUCUGUGUUUGGUUGUAGUUGAAUUGGUUUUGAGGAAUUUGUGGAUAGAUGAAAGAAAGUGAAGUGACGAUACAAAUUCAUAUCUUCAAUUCACUGACUUACUGUGUGAUGUUACUCUGAAUUGGCUGUGGUUCUGAUCGCUUUCUUUCUCAUCUUUCAAUCUCACUCACACCCACAUGGAUCUGAACAUGUCAAGUUUCAUUCUUUUUCUUUUUCUUUUUCCUCUGAAUCCGGGCAGGUGAUGAGUCUUAUGGUAUUAUGGGUAAUUUGCGUCUGAAUAUUCAGUGAUGUUUUACUUUCACGUUGGAGAACUGAUGCCCUCG